CAGCAUCCGCGGUAAUACGGAGGGUGCAAGCGUUAAUCGGAAUUACUGGGCGUAAAGCGCACGCAGGCGGUCUGUCAAGUCAGAUGUGAAAUCCCCGGGCUUAACCUGGGAACUGCAUUUGAAACUGGCAGGCUAGAGUCUUGUAGAGGGGGGUAGAAUUCCAGGUGUAGCGGUGAAAUGCGUAGAGAUCUGGAGGAAUACCGGUGGCGAAGGCGGCCCCCUGGACAAAGACUGACGCUCAGGUGCGAAAGCGUGGGGAGCAAACAGGAUUAGAUACCCGCGUAGUCCCUGUCUCUUAUAC
rnacentral:rRNA from 1 species